AUGAUUACGUGUGGACCAGAUGUGUGCUCUUUUCCAUUGCAUACCAGAUUGUCGGCUAAAAGAGUUUUUUGUCUUCCAGCAAUGAGCUUUCAUUUUCAUUGUGGAGGUUUGUUCGGUUCAUCUCCUCUCAUCAUUUUUUUUCAGUUUAUCUCUUCAGAAGUUUGGGUGCCUCUGUUUUGCUACUUUUUAGUUCUCAUCAUUAAGGUCCAUGGACAUUGUCAGAAUUUUCACUUUAUCGGAGUGUCUUAUUUUCAGAUCUCAUGUUCCUCAAGGCUUUCUUUCACUGCUGCUCUAAACAGGGAACGUUGA
rnacentral:rRNA from 1 species